UUGGAGGGCAAGUCUGGUGCCAGCAGCCGCGGUAAUUCCAGCUCCAAUAGCGUAUAUUAAAGUUGUUGCAGUUAAAAAGCUCGUAGUUGAACUUCGGGGUCUACCCAUUGGUCAGGCUUAAUUGUCUGCACUGGUAGGAUGGAUCUCUACCUUCUGAGGAACUUUCAUGCCAUUUAUUUGGUGUGAUGGGAAAUCAGGACUGUUACUUUGAAAAAAUUAGAGUGUUUAAAGCAGACUAUCGUCUGAAUACAUUAGCAUGGAAUAAUGAAAUAGGACGGACUGAUUCUAUUUCGUUGGUUUCUAGGAUCACCGUAAUGAUUAAUAGGGAUAGUUGGGGGCAUUAGUAUUCAAUUGUCAGAGGUGAAAUUCUUGGAUUUAUUGAAGACUAACUACUGCGAAAGCAUUUGCCAAGGAUGUUUUCAUUAAUCAAGAACGAAAGUUAGGGGAUCGAAGACGAUCAGAUACCGUCGUAGUCUUAACCAUAAACUAUGCCGACUAGGGAUCGGACGAAGUUAAUUUUAUAAUGACGCGUUCGGCGCCUUACGGGAAAC
rnacentral:rRNA from 1 species